rnacentral:misc_RNA from 1 species
AGCCGGGGCGUCACGGGCAUUGGGUUCAGUAACGCCUGUGUAUAUACAGGUACACUAGCUGUCCCUACGGAUUGAGAUAUGAUUUUACAUACAUCUGUAUUGGUCCCCAAACACUUAACUGUCUGAGUAUGAUUUCCACCUACUUAUAUGUAGGUGAAUAGCAGUUACAUGUACCACUGGAGUGUAAAAGGAGAAAUACCAUUCUGUAGAUUGUGCUCAAGUCUACACUGCUGUUUCAAUGGAUAUGUGCAUCUGCCGGGAGACUUGUCUUCUAUACCGUGUUUUAAGAUAACUUGUAAGGAUUUGGUGUGUGUUACCUACAAGUGUUAAUUUGUGUGGUUUUCGCGUACAGUAAUCAUGUCUGAUAAAGGUUUAGAGAUGUCAGCCCAGGAUCAUCCUGUGUAUGAAAGCCACAGGCAACAAGUGGACCGAGUUCUCAGCGACUUGUCCCGUGGCACCUUGCUCCACAAGGUCAAGAGUGGGGGCAUGUUGUACCCGCGUACGUUCUUCUUAGACACAAAAGACAUGGUUCUACGCUACACGGGCUCGGAGAAACGCUUCCGUAAAAAGAAACUUUCAUGGCAAAUUUCCAAGAUCCGUGAAGUUCGGGACGGAGAAAAGGAUUACUCCAAAAGAUUGGACCCUUUUGAUACGCCAGCACUGAGAGGGCGUUGCUUCGCAGUGAUAUUUGGAGCCAACCAUGAGGUAUUGUACCUGUACUCCAACUCCAUAUACGAGCGGGACAUGUGGGUCAAGGGCAUCCAGUUCGCCAUUCACAUGGAACAGUACAUGGACCAGAAACAGCAGGCAGACAGAUGGAUCAAAGAUGCCUUCAAUAUGGCCGAUAAAAACAACGACGGCAGUCUGGACUUUGAGGAAGUCAUGAAGCUUCUGAAGCAGUUGAAUGCCGACAUGGAUAAAAAAUACGUCAAAGCCUUAUUUGAUAAAGCUGACACAGAGAAGUCUGGUAAAGGCAGGUCUCGCCUGGACAAUGCUGAGUUUGUACAGUUCUAUCAUCUACUCACAGAGAGGGCGGAGGUUGAGGAAAUAUUCCUCAGAUAUGAUGGCGGUAAAGGGUAUAUGGACUGCCUAGAUCUCCAGCGCUUCCUCAAAAAUGACCAAAAGGUGACCAUGCAGGAGGACGAUGUCAACGAGGUCAUCGCAGCGUAUGAGCCUCAGAAACAAUUACAGUUAGAUGACCAUAUGAGCCUUAUAGGUUUCAGGACAUUCCUUACCAGUCGUGACCAACAGAUGUUCAAUCCAGCAUGUCGCCGCGUGUACCAGGACAUGACACAACCCAUCACUAAUUAUUAUAUCUCCUCAUCUCAUAACACAUACCUAGUGGAGGAUCAGCUGAAGGGCCCGAGCCGUGUCGAGGCCUACAUCACUGCCCUCUCACGCGGCUGUCGCUGUGUAGAACUUGAUUGCUGGGACGGCCCAGACGAUGAGCCUGUUAUUUACCAUGGUUACACACUCACCUCUAAGAUCCUGUUCCGUGACGUGAUUGGUGCCAUUAAAGACUAUGCCUUCCACUCUUCACCAAGGGAUCAGGGUGACAGAAGUUACCCUGUGAUCCUGUCCAUAGAAAACCAUUGUUCUAUAAAGCAGCAGACGGUCAUGGGCAAACAUAUACGCAACAUUCUAGGAGAUCUGGUGUAUGCACCGACAGAACUUCCAAACAAGAUUCCAUCCCCUGCUGACUUGAUGGGCAAAAUUGUCCUGAAGGGUAAGAAGCUGCCUUGGAGUCACAGUACAGAAGAAGCAGAGGUGAGUGACGAGGAGGAUGAGGCAGCAGAGAGCCAGGAGGAGAGUAAGAGCAAGGAUAAAAGCAAGCACAAACUUUCCAGACAUUUCUCAGAUGUCGUCGGCAUGAAGGCUAUUAGCUUCAAGUCUACAGACGAGGCCAUCGCAUCAAAUGGUAUUUUUGUGUCACUUGGGGAGAGCAAAGUUCUCAAGAUGAUCGGAAAUGAUAUAAAAGAUGUGAACAGACUUAGUCAACAGAUGCUGGUGAGAACGUAUCCUUCAGGGUCCCGCACCGAUUCCAGUAACUAUAACCCUGUACCCAUGUGGGCAGCUGGAUGUCAAGUGGUUGCGCUGAACUUCCAGACGACCGGUGCAGAACCGAUGCAGUUACUACACGGGAAGUUCCUGGACAACGGAGGCUCGGGAUAUGUACUGAAACCUGAAUUUAUGUUAUCAGCUGAGAAGUUUUCUUCACAAUUGGAAAAACCGACAAAGAAGAAGAAGCUGGUAAUGAAGAUGAUAAGUGGAUACCAGAUUCCUAAGCCUAAAGAUUCAAAGAAAGGGGAAGUCAUUGAUCCGUUCAUCAAGAUUGAAGUUCACGGAUCCAAGGCAGACAACCAACAAGUCAAGACAAGUGUUAUACAGAACAAUGGGUUCAACCCCCAGUGGAACGAGACGGUGAGCUUCAACUUGAACUCCCCCGAGUUGGUGUUAUUGCGGUUUGUUGUGUACGACAGCGACAGAUACGUUGAUGAUUUCAUCGGCUACUACGUCAUGCCACUCUCCUGUCUUCAGCAGGGGUACCGCCAUUUUCCAUUGUUCAACAAGACCGGUGACCAGCUGCCUCAGGCAUUAAUAUUUGUCCACACUGAGAUAGUGGAUGCCUGAUGAAAAUUGUAUUAUCUGUAGAUGACCAUCUGCUUCUCUUGUUGACCGUUUAGGCCUUAACAAGUAUAGAUAUACAAUAAGUCUGUAUCAGAAGAAGAAAUUUCACAUAACUUGUACCUAGAUUUGACCAAGCAUUUUACGCAGUAGUAACCUCGUGAUGGACACUCUGGGUGAAUCAGCCUUCAUUCCACUGAUGAAAGACAUGUACAUAUGUAGGAAUGUGACAAAUUUAAACUGAUUAACGUUGACUCGGUUGUAUGAAUCAUUUUGAUUCUGAUGGACGUGAGACCAUUGUAGAUGUAUUGGGCAUUAAUCUCUUGCUGGGUGCUGGACCAGUCAAACAUGUUACCUGGCCCAUUGAUUUGGACUGGAUAUCACGUGACUUAAAACCAGUAGACUUAUCGGGUCAGCUAUACACUGAUGGAGACUGAUAUGUCAGUAUAGUCAUUGCUUUUAUCAUCAGCUGCGACAAAAGUUUGGUACAGAAAUGCACGAAACAGUGCCGCAAUGAUUGAUUGAGUAUUAAAUCAGAUAGGAAUGGGUACUGUGUGGAACUUGUGACACUAAGACCUGAAUUAGAUCAGCUGUUGAGUUUAAGACUGAUCGAGAGCUAAGGCAGCUCUGAAUAUCAUAGACCGAGAGCUGAAGCAACUAUGGAUCUUUAGGCUGGAAGCUCAGACAUCUGUGAAACUUAUUGCUGAGAGGUGAGUCAGCUGUAGACUGAGAGGCGAGUCAGCUGUAGACUGAGAGGCGAGUCAGCUGUAGACUGGGACUGAAAACUGAGGCAAUUGUGGAAGUGGCAUCGCACUGAGGCACUUGUCGAUGGAGACUUGUGUUAAGGCAAUGGUGGAGGAAGGAGACUCGCAAAGGCAGUUGGCGUAGCCCAGGCUCCUGCUCAGGCAGUUAGUGAAGAUAGAGCCUUAAUAGUCGAGGCCUUUUGGGAGGAGGCCAAGAGUCAAGGCAUCUGUAUGAAUGGAUUGGAUUAACUUAAUACAUUGCCUUGUUCAACUGUACAUUUAACUAUUUUUAAAUAUAGUCGGUUUUUUUUUUAACCUAUUUCACUUCAUUUUUUUUUUUAUCUAUUUCACUUUAAUAUUAUGUCCAACAACAAACUUAAACUGCAAAAAAAUAAUUCAACUAUCACUUUCAUUCUUUAUCUUUACUGGUAAAUCAGAUUUAUAUUUCUAGGUGUGCAAGUUCAACUGCAUAAGUAUCUAGAUUUGUAUAAUGUAGUGAAAUAAUCUGAUGUUUGAAGGUGAAAUAGCCUGCCUUUCAUUUUCCAUCAGUCAGCUUUUUUUAUGCAAAAUUAAUUGUUUAAUUAUAAUUAUAACCAGUCAGCAUUGAACCAGCUACUUUAGAAAAUUAACCACCAGUUUGAUACUUAGCAAGAACAAUGCUUAAUUGUGAAGAAAAAUUUGACAAGGCAGAUUUUAUAUAUAUUUAUUACGAGUUCUGACUGUUAAUUAACAUACAAUUUCUCAAGCAGCAUUGAGUCAUGCUAGUUCUCAGUGUUAAGCGACUACUGGUGGUAACAUCACUUUGUUACUAACAGACCAGGAAGCUAUUUAAUAACCUGCCAUUUAUUUAUCUACGAAGAGAUGUGAUGUUUUAUACAAAUUGUGAUAUUUUAUAAACUUUGUGUGUGGUCUACUAGCUCUAUCAGUUGAAAUCAGCAUAAAACAAGCAAACAAAUUGAAAAACACUUGAUAUACAGCUGUUGAAAUGUAUACUGCUUGUUUACAUAAAAAAUAUCUUUCCAUUUUGGUGAUAACAUUUCACUGUUUUAUGUAUAGAAACAAAUGGUUAACUGUCAAUAAUAACAUAUCUUCACUGUUGUGUACUGUUUACAUAAAGGCAUCUUUACUGCAUGCUGGUGUACAAAUUAUAUUUAACUGUUUUUCAUUACUGCUGGUUAAAUUUGAUUAGUAUAUAGGUAUCAUGUAACAUUUAUCAUUUGGCUUGUGUUAUAUUAUGAAGGUGAUAUGUUGAUUGUCUUUUUCACUGCUGUUACCAUUUUUCGCCAAUAUUUGAUUGUGUAAAUAAUCUAGUACAAUAAUACAAUGUGCUAGUAUAUAAAUAUAUAUAUAGUUAACUUUCAGAUGACAUUUUACACCUUGUAUAGCCUAGUAAAUCUAUUACAUUUUUAUACAAAUCUAGAACUUCUUUAUACGGAAAAUCUGACAUGCUGUAGGGUUAUUGUUACUAAAUUCUGUAGGGUUAUCGUUACUAAAUUCUGUAGGAUUAUUGUUACUAAAUUCUGUAGGGUUAUUGUUACUCAAUUCUGUAGGGUUAGUGUUGUUACUAAAUUCUGUAGGGUUAUUGUUACUAAAUUCUGUAGGGUUAUUGUUAUUCAAUUCUGUAGGGUUAUUGUUACUAAAUUAUGUAGGGUUAUUGUUACUAAAUUCUGUAGGGUUAUUGUAAUUAUAAAUACUGCAGACUUAUUGUUACUCAAUGCUGUAGGGUUAUUGUAAUUAUAAAUACUGUCGAGUUAUUGUUACUCAAUGAUGUAGGGUUAUUGUAAUUAUAAAUACUGUAGAGUUAUUGUAACUCAAUGCAGUAGGUUAACUGUUACUAAAUGUUGUAGGGUUAUUGUUACUUUUGUGUUGUAUUCACACGAAACCUCAACGACUGUGGUACGAUAAGGAUCUAGCAAUGAGAUAAAGGGGUCUUAUUAUAGAGGUGUCCAAAGGGGUCUUAUAGAGGUGUACAAAGGGCCGGUCUUACAGAGGUGUCCAAAGGAGUACGGUAGAGAGGGUACAAUAGGGGUCCAGUCAUGUGAUAAAUGGGAUCCAAUGUAUUCUAAAGGGAUGUGAUAACAGGGAUAAAAUAUAGGAUCUGGCCGCGGUCGAGAUAUAAGGGGAUGUAGGGGCUGAUAAAAUAUAGGAUCUGGCUGUGGUCGAGAUAUAAGGGGAUGUAGCUAAAGGGGCUGAUAAAAUAUAGGAUCUGGCCAUGGUCGAGAUAUAAGGGGAUGUUGGGGCUGAUAAAAUAUAGGAUCUGGCUAUGGUCGCGAUAUAAGGGGAUGUAGGGGCUGAUAAAAUAUAGGAUCUGGCCAUGGUCGAGAUAUAAGGGGAUGUAGGGGCUGAUAAAGUCAUGGAAACAUUUAUUGUAUCAAAUUUUAAGUCUGUACUUUAUAGUUAGUGUAGCAUAUGUAGGAUAUGUUAUCAUGUAUAUGUUACGAAACAGAUUUGUGUUUUCACAGACACAUAUUACAAUGAAAUGUGUACACUUAGUACUAUUGGACAGUCAAUAUUGUAAUGUUUCAUUUUUCUUUUCUUUUUCUGUGAUUUUUUCCCCUUAAAAUUUAUCACACUCAAACUAUUUCAUAAUUAGAUUUUUAUCAAUGAAUAUUAGUGGUCCGUUUACAUUG